CAUCUACUCCUUCCGUCCGGAAAUACUUGUCGCGGAAAUGGGUAUAAAUGGAUGCAUCUAAAACUAAAACGCAUCUAGAUACAUUCAUUCCUCCGACACGUAUUUGCGGACGGAGGGAGUAAUAU
rfam:Triticum urartu cultivar G1812 contig1067067, whole genome shotgun sequence.